rnacentral:rRNA from 1 species
UACGGGGGGGGCAAGCGUUGUUCGGAAUUACUGGGCGUAAAGGGCGCGUAGGCGGUUCGAUAAGUCAGCUGUGAAGACCAUGGGCUUAACUCAUGGCCUGCAGUUGAGACUGUCGGGCUGGAGUGUGGGAGAGGAGAGUGGAAUUCCUGGUGUAGCGGUGAAAUGCGUAGAUAUCAGGAGGAACACCGGUGGCGAAGGCGGCUCUCUGGACCACAACUGACGCUGAGGCGCGAAAGCUAGGGGAGCAAACAGG